rnacentral:rRNA from 1 species
CUCGUAGUUGGAGUUAGCUUCCCGAGCCGUUCGGCCCGAACGAGACUGUAGGUACGGCUCUCUUCGACAAAAGCGAUACGCGUGCUCGAUGCCGUUGCCUCGUGGCCGUCCUUAAGUGGGCGCGUCCACGCUUCGUGCUUUCGUUGCGCCGUAACGUAGGGGAGACGCCUACCGCGUCCGUUCGGAUAAAGCCGAGCUAUAUCGGUUUCGGGAGGCAAAGAGAAAGAGCUUAAAUACUUAAGCCUCUUAACUGUUUCGACAGUAUAAUAAAACUAGUCGGCACUCGCGGCUUGCUCUUAAUUGAGUGAGUCGUGUGUCGUCGACACGUUCACUUUGAGAAAAUUUAUGUGCUCAAAGCGGGUACAAACCCAAAAAAGGGGAAUGACGCGUACACGUACGUUGAUUUCUCUUAAAAGCCCGAAAGAUGACGCAUGGAAUGAAGGAAUAGGACCUCGGUUCUGUCCUUAUUUCUAUUCCUAUUGAAAUAUGCCAUUUUUGACUAAGGUCUUUUCUAUGGAAUCCGAGGUAAUGAUUAAAGGAAACAGACGGGGGCUUAGGUACUGCGACGCGAGAGGUGAAAUUCUAGGACCGUCGCAAGACCACCUACUGCGAAAGCAUUUGCCAAGAAUGUUUUCAUUAAUCAAGAACGAAAGUCAGAGGUUCGAAGGCGAUCAGAUACCGCCCUAGUUCUGACCGUAAACAAUGCUAACUGGCGAUCCGCCCGCGUCAUCCCCACGACCGGGCGGGCAGCCCCCGGGAAACCUCAAGUUUUUGAGCUCCGGGGGGAGUAUGGUUGCAAAGUUGA